AAGAUUUUAAGUUAAAUAAACUAUAAACCUUCAAAGUUUAAAAUAAAAUUAUUUUUAAAUCUUA
rnacentral:tRNA from 1 species